UCUCCAGUACCAUCAACCCAGAU
rnacentral:piRNA from 1 species